UCAAAUUAUUUUAGCCUACUAUAAUUUCCAUAACAAAGCCCACUCUCCCUUUACCAAAAUAAAGAACCAAUUUUUAGUUAAUUUAAAGGCCCAACAUCUAAAAAGGGAUAAGCCCAUUUCAUUAAUUUAGUCCAUAUACUCCUCUUCCACCACACGUAUCACUACUCCUAAUCACUAUUCACCUUCUCCCCUAAUUUCCCAAAAUGCACAACCUCUCUCUCUCUCCUCUCUCUCGUCGCCGAUCCGCCGCCUUGCUAGCGGCGGCCGCUCCGGCGACGCUCCUCUCUUCGCUCAGCCUCGCGCCGUCGUGCCGCCACCGCCUCUGCGGAUCCGCCGUCGUUGCGGGUCCGUCUCAACCGCCGUCGCCAAGAACCUCCCCCUUCCAGCAGCCGACGCCGAGAACCUCCCCUUCCUAGCCGCCGACGCCGAGAACCUCCCCUUCCCAGCCGCCGACGCCGAGAACAUCCUCUUCCCAGCCGCCGACGCCGAGAACCUUCCCUUCCCAGCCGCCGACGCCGAGAACCUCCUCUUCCCAGCCGCCGACGCCGAGAACCGUCAGAUCUUUAAGGAAUGAAAGCAGUGGCUUUCGGAGCGUUGGUCGUCGAUUGUCGGCGACGGAGUGCCGAAAUCAGCCGCUGGAAAUCUUUAUAACUUGUAUUCUUGAGAUAAGCUUCUAACUCGUGCUUACUAUAGUUGUAGGAUUUAUUUGUUUGCUUUACGAAAUGAAUGAUGUUGAAAAUCUGCACAAGUACCAGAAGGCUUGGUGGUGAAACAUGUUGAUAUUGUAUGAGUUGUUGUGGAAUAAAGUCCUUAUUUGGUGACUUGGGGCAUUUGUCUUACUGUUAUGGAUGGCUUGGUGGUGGGAGACGAUGUUAAACUUGUGUAUUGGUUGAUGUUACUUGGACAGAUUCUACUUUCAAAUUAUAUAUGCAUAUGUUUGUACAUAUAUGAAUAUGAAAGAAAAGGGAGGCUUGGGGUUUACCUUACAUAUAUGAAUAUGAAAGAAAAGGGAGGCUUGGGGUUUACCUUUUUGAUAUGGGAACAAAGUGUCGUUGGAUUGUAAUUUGCCGUGCUUGACCCUACAAUUUUGUGCAAAUAUCCCUUCUUGGACUUCUCUAUCCUACGUUGGGUUGGCGUGUGCAGAAAAAAAUUGGUGUGCGUAAAGAAGUUAGGAUUUGUGUGGGUGAGUGACAAAAAGAUUUAUAUAUAUAUGUACAUAUACAUAAAACAUGCAAGUGAGACUUAUCUUGUUGUCACGGAUAUGAUUUCAUCAUGCACUCAUUAAAUGCAUUUAAUGCAGCAUUAAAUGCUGCUGUCGAAAAAAAAAUCUGAUCGAGUCUAUCUUCUCCUUUCCUUAUGAUUAAUCUCUUUUAUUAUAUUAUUAGUAUAUUUAUUGUUUAAUUUGGUGCAGGAAGAAACUCGGUUCAAGCUCGUGGCUGUCCGCGUUAAAGUACCCGAUUUUCUUAGAACGCAUGAUGUAUAGAUUAAUUUUUGUUUGACUUUUGUUGAAUGUAUCGGACAUUAAAAUUUUGAUUUUUGGAUCUUAUUUAUUUAUUUAAAAUUUAUUAUACUCA